CACUCCUGCGGGAGGCAGCAGUGGGGAAUAUUGCACAAUGGGCGCAAGCCUGAUGCAGCCAUGCCGCGUGUAUGAAGAAGGCCUUCGGGUUGUAAAGUACUUUCAGCGGGGAGGAAGGCGAUAAGGUUAAUAACCUUGUUGAUUGACGUUACCCGCAGAAGAAGCACCGGCUAACUCCGUGCCAGCAGCCGCGGUAAUACGGAGGGUGCAAGCGUUAAUCGGAAUUACUGGGCGUAAAGCGCACGCAGGCGGUCUGUCAAGUCGGAUGUGAAAUCCCCGGGCUCAACCUGGGAACUGCAUUCGAAACUGGCAGGCUAGAGUCUUGGAGAGGGGGGUAGAAUUCCAGGUGUAGCGGUGAAAUGCGUAGAGAUCUGGAGGAAUACCGGUGGCGAAGGCGGCCCCCUGGACAAAGACUGACGCUCAGGUGCGAAAGCGUGGGGAGCAAACAGGAUUAGAUACCCCUGUAGUCCCA
rnacentral:rRNA from 1 species